UGAAAUAUGCAUAAACUUUAUUUAUGAGUUGGUUCAUAAAUUAAAUGUAUAACAUUGAAAGCUCAUAGUACUUUCUUCCAAGCAUAAGUUGACCAUGCAUCAUAAAACAAGAACAAGACACAAAUUGAUUCGCCCCUUGUCUUCCCUAAUUAAAACAUACCAUAAUUAAGAACUAUAUAUAGAAAAACAAGCGCAAAAGACAAAAAUACCCUCAAGGAUUGAACCGGUACUCUUGGUUCUGAUACCCUCCAUUGUAAUUGUAUCUAUCAUACGAGUUCUGAUUAUUCCCAUAAUACCCUUGUGUAUUGUAUCCAUUCCUAGAACCAUAUGAGUUCUGAUUAUUCCCAUAAUACCCUUGUGUGUUGUACCCGUUUCUGGAACCAAACCCUCUUGUGUUCAUGUUCAUGUUUGCAUUAGAAUUAGGGUUCUCCAUAUUAAUGUCGUAAUAGUACUUUCCAUUCUCCAAAAACCUAGUAUCACUCAUACCCUGCUUCUCAGGGUUGUACAUAUUCCCAUUGCCACGUGUACCAUAACUUCCCAUCCCCUGCAUCUCCGAGUUGUACCUUUGGUCCUCCACCUGCUUCUCCGAGUUGUACACAUUGCCACCACCUUCCCUAGUCUCCAUAAACCUUGCAUCAUCAAAAUCAAAACCUUGCUUCUCAGAGUUGUACAUUCUGCUUUCACCGUUGUACUUGUUGGCUUGUGGGUACUCCUUGUAUUCAUCAGGGAUGUACUCUUGGGUGUUGCUGUGGAUGGGGGUGGUGUAUGCAACCGGGUUGUAGUUUUCCGGGUUGUUGUUGUUGAUUGGUGUUUGAGGGUUGUUCUUGAUUGGUGUUUAAGGGUUGUUGUUGAUUGUUGUUAGAGAAUUUGUUGAAGAAUUGGCUUUCUCUUGCAUGGAUAGUAGAAGAGAGAGUGAGAGUGAGAAGAAUGAAGUAGGAAAUGGGAGCCAUGGGAGGAGAGAGAGAUAAGAAGUUUUG
rnacentral:lncRNA from 1 species